rnacentral:tRNA from 1 species
ACCUGGGUGGCUCAGUCGGUUGAGCGUCCGACUUCGGCUCAGGUCAUGAUCUCACAGUCUGUGAGUUCGAGCCCCGCCUCAGGCU